CUGGGCUCGAACGGCUUCUCAACGGCGGUGGAAACACCGCUACUCCGCAAGGGGGUGGAGUCGAGGUGCUGCAUGGCUGUCGUCAGCUCGUGUCGUGAGAUGUUGGGUUAAGUCCCGCAACGAGCGCAACCCUUGUCCUGUGUUGGCAUGCCGCAAGGCGCAACUCUCAGGAGACCGCCAGCGAUAAGCUGGAGGAAGGUGGGGAUGACGUCAAGUCAUCAUGGCCUUUAUGUCCAGGGCCACACACGUGCUACAAUGGGCGGUACAAAGCGCUGCCAACCCGCGAGGGGGAGCUAAUCGCCAAAAACCGUCCUCAGUUCGGAUCGCAGGCUGCAACUCGCCUGCGUGAAGCUGGAAUCGCUAGUAAUGCUAUAUCAGAACGAUAGCGUGAAUACGUUCCCGGGCCUUGUACACACCGCCCGUCACAUCACGAAAGUGGGUUGUACUAGAAGUCUGCAUGCUAACCCGCAAGGGAGGCAGCGGCCCAAGGUAUGACUCAUGAUUGGGGUG
rnacentral:rRNA from 1 species